CACCGCCUCGUCCGCCGCCAUCGUGCUCGGUGCGUUUCUCAGUUCCCGCCCUUGUCGCCAUCUCCUUUUUCUCUCUCAGUGUGUUUUUGUUGCUUUUGGAUUUCUGGGUGCCGCGCUUGGUCUCACCUGAAUGUGUUCGAGGAAGUCCCUUGUCUGCUCGAUGAAAUGCGGCCACUGAAUCGUGGAUGUCUGUGCUUUAUUUUGCCCAGAUCUAUCGCUAUGUCUGUAGGGAAUGGGAUGGAUGGGUAGUGGAAUGAAUCAGGAGCAGAGGACAGUGCGCUUCUCCUCUGUUUUGCUGGUACUAAUGAUAGACAUUUUAUGCUAGUGAUAAGAUGAUGAUAGAUUUGGGGAGAGAUGUUUUUUCACUGGUGGAAAGAUGGUGCUGGAAGGGGCAGGGGUCACGGCACCAGAGAAGUCAGCCUCUCAACUUAAAUUGAAGAGCAGAUUACACUCUAGCUCACUUAACAUAUUGAACAAGUUGUCAAAUAUGCCACCAUCCUUUUAAUUUGCACAUCUGGAUCACUAAACUUAAUUAAAGGGGUGGCUGCACAUAAUAACCUUUGAUGGGUGUGUCAGCGAAUUAGCUUAGUUAUGUAUGGAGCAAUGGCGGAGCUCAGAUGAGAAUGUUGAGGGGGCUAAGCUGACAAGACAUGCUUAAAAUUUGAGAAUUUUUGAGCAUUAUCUGAUAUCUAAGUUGUAUUAUAAAGGAUAUAGUUAGACGGUGUGAUGUCUAGUUGUUUGGCUCAAUUAUGAAUGCAAUUGAUUAAUCAUGGGCUCAUCUUGUGUUGGGUGAGAAGAGCUUAAAGGAAAGAUGAAUGCUGUAUACUUUUUGAGCAUUUCGGUUGGUGUUUCCUUUGCAGAAAUUUUCCACCACUGCGCACGGCAAGAACUGACAGGUCACCGCCUCAUUCGCCACCAUUGUGCUUGGUGCGUUACUCAGUUCCCACCCUUGUAGUCAUACUGAAGUGUGUCAAACAUGUUGCCAUCCUUUUAAUGGACACAUCUAGAUCUCUAAACUAAAUUAAAUGGGUGACUGCGCAUAAAAAUCAUGAUGGGUGUGCCAGCAACUUAGCUGUGGUGGAGCUUGAAGGAUAAUCCUGAGGGGGCUAAGCUGAUAAGACAUGCUUAAAAUUUGAGAUUUAUUUUACUCCCUCCAAUCUGAAUUAAUUGACGCAACUCUAUACAUUAUCUUACUUACAUUGUGUAGAGAUUGCGUCAAUUAAUUUGGAUUGGAGGGAGUAGCACUAUUUGAUAUCUAAGUUGUAUUCUACAGGGUAUAGUUAGGCAGUGUGCUGUAGUUGUUUGGCUUAAUCACGAAUGCAACUUAUCAUUGGUUCAUGUUGCUUUGGGCGAGAAGAGCUUAAAGGAAAGAUGCAUGCCUGUAUACUUUUUGAGCAUUUCAGUUGGUGUUUCUUUUGCAGAAAUUUCCCACCACUGUGUGCUGUGAGAAUCAGCAGGUCACCGCCUCAUCCGCUGCCAUCAUACCCGGUGUGUUUCUUGCUUCCGUCCAACCUUUUUCUCUCUUAGGGUGUUUUUGUUUCUUUUGGAUUUCUGGUGCCAUGCCUGUUCUUGCCUGGAUACUUGCGAGGAAGUCCCUCACCUGCUCGGUGAAUGCUGUGACCGAAUUGGGCACAAAUGUUGGUUAAUUUCGCUCCAAUAUACCGAUGUCUAUAGGGAAUGGGUGGGUAAUGAAACGAAUCAGGAACAGAGGGCCAUGCACUCUUCUUUUUGUUUUGGUGGUACUAAUGAUAGACCUUCUGUAGUUAAGAUGAUGGUGGAUUUUGGGAGCGAUUGUUUCUCAGUGAAAAGAAAUUGAUGUGGGAAGGGGAAGGAAUCUUGGCAAUAGACGAGUCAGCGUCUCAGCUUAAUUAAAGAGCAGAUUACACUCUAGGCUACUUAGCAUAUUAAAGUGUGUCAAAUAUGUCACCAUCCUUGUAAUUUGCACAUCUAGAUCACUAAAUUAAAUUAAAUGGUUGACUGCACGUAACAGCCAUGCCAUGUUGAAUGGGUGUGUCAGCAACUUGGCAUAGUUACGUAUGGAGCAUGGGAGUGCCCUUGCAUGCCUUGUUUUUUUUCUAUUCAACCUAUGACAAUAUGCUGUGUGCUGUAGUUGUUUGGCUCGUUUGUGAUGAAACUUACCAUGAGUUCAUGUUGCUUUAGGCAAGAAGAGCAUAAAGGAAACAUGCGUGCUGUAUACUUUUUGAGCAUUUCAGUUGGUGUUCCCUUUGCAGAAAUUUCCCACCACUGCGUGCUGCAAGAAUCAGCAGGUCACCGCCUCAUCUGCUGCCAUCAUGCCCGGUACGUUUCUCGCUUCCCACCCUCUUUCUCUCUCAGCAUGCUUUUGUUUCUUUUGGAUUUCUGGGCGCUGUGCCUGUUCUUGCCUGGAUACUUGCGAGGAAGUCCCUCAGCUGCGCAACGAAAUGCUGUGACCGAGUCAGGCACUUGUGUUGGCUUAUUUCACUCCAAUAAACUGAUAUGUAUGUAGGGAAUGGAUGGGUAAUGAAACAAAUCAGGAACAGAGUACGAUACACUCUUCUUUUGUUUUGGUGGUACUAAUGCUAGACCUUUUGUAGUUAAAAACUUAGAUGAUGGUGGAUUUGGGGAGAGAUUGUUUCUCAGUGACAAAAUGAUGUGAGAUGGGGAAGGGAUCUUUGAAAAUAGAGGGUUAUUUGGCUAGAAUCAAGGAGAUAGGGUGAUCAUGGAAUUAGAACAGGUUUUUAUUCAGUGGUGGCCACAUAUGGCCAUAUGGGUAUACGGGAAGUUUAAGAAUGCAGAACAGACAUGGGCUUCCACACAUAACUACUCUGACUCACUCAUCUGAUGUGGUGUGGUAAUGAUGACAUGGCAUGUUGGUGAUGUUGAGUGACUCGCUUAAUUUAGUUUAGUGACCCAGAGGUGCACAUUUAGAGAACAGUAACCUAUAUGACACACUUGAACAAGUCUGGUUAGCUAAAGAGUAAUUUACUCUUAUUAUAUAAAGAGGUUGCCUCCAUGUCUCGACCCUUGUUUUUUGGGAGUUCUUUGGGUUUUCACUGUGGUAAAAGAUGUACUAAAACUUUAGAACAGCUGGAUGAUUAAUAUUUGGAUAAAAAGAAGUUUACAAUGUCAUUGGACAUUUACAGGCUCCUCAUUCGAUUUGUGUAAAGCUUAGCCUAAAUAUAUUCAAAGUACUACAUGAUCAUCAAUUGCUAUUUAAGCAUGAUUUGCACCUCUAUUGGCAUACUUACGCAAGUUCAGAGACACAAUGACAUGCUACACAAGUCUAGACACUUAUCACCUAUGAGGCUAUGACAUGCUCAUUCUCAAGACACAAGUCAGCGAAUUAGCUUAGUUAUGUAUGGAGCAAUGGCGGAGCUCAGAUGAGAAUGUUGAGGGGGCUAAGCUGACAAGACAUGCUUAAAAUUUGAGAAUUUUUGAGCAUUAUCUGAUAUCUAAGUUGUAUUAUAAAGGAUAUAGUUAGACGGUGUGAUGUCUAGUUGUUUGGCUCAAUUAUGAAUGCAAUUGAUUAAUCAUGGGCUCAUCUUGUGUUGGGUGAGAAGAGCUUAAAGGAAAGAUGAAUGCUGUAUACUUUUUGAGCAUUUCGGUUGGUGUUUCCUUUGCAGAAAUUUUCCACCACUGCGCACGGCAAGAACUGACAGGUCACCGCCUCAUUCGCCACCAUUGUGCUUGGUGCGUUACUCAGUUCCCACCCUUGUAGUCAUACUGAAGUGUGUCAAACAUGUUGCCAUCCUUUUAAUGGACACAUCUAGAUCUCUAAACUAAAUUAAAUGGGUGACUGCGCAUAAAAAUCAUGAUGGGUGUGCCAGCAACUUAGCUGUGGUGGAGCUUGAAGGAUAAUCCUGAGGGGGCUAAGCUGAUAAGACAUGCUUAAAAUUUGAGAUUUAUUUUACUCCCUCCAAUCUGAAUUAAUUGACGCAACUCUAUACAUUAUCUUACUUACAUUGUGUAGAGAUUGCGUCAAUUAAUUUGGAUUGGAGGGAGUAGCACUAUUUGAUAUCUAAGUUGUAUUCUACAGGGUAUAGUUAGGCAGUGUGCUGUAGUUGUUUGGCUUAAUCACGAAUGCAACUUAUCAUUGGUUCAUGUUGCUUUGGGCGAGAAGAGCUUAAAGGAAAGAUGCAUGCCUGUAUACUUUUUGAGCAUUUCAGUUGGUGUUUCUUUUGCAGAAAUUUCCCACCACUGUGUGCUGUGAGAAUCAGCAGGUCACCGCCUCAUCCGCUGCCAUCAUACCCG
rnacentral:lncRNA from 1 species